AGAGUGUUAUAACAAAGAGGCCACUGCAAUGAGAAAAGAAUUCCUGAAGCCAAAGAAAAUGAUACAUCCAAAUAGCAGAAAGUCUAUCGCUAUUACGAAAAAAGCCAAAAAAAUAUCAAAUAGACAGAAGGCAGAAAUGUCCUGCUUGAUAAAACAGAAUUCAAUAGGAGAGAAAAUAUCGUGGAUCAGAAACAAUAUGAUUCCAGGCGUGUGACCCUAUACUCCAGAGAUAACUGCAAGUUUGUUAGAAACGGAGUUAUAGUUCUAUAUUUGAUCCAAAGGUAUG